UGUUACACACACUGAAGCUU
rnacentral:snRNA from 1 species